rnacentral:rRNA from 1 species
UACGAAGGGAACUAGCGUUGUUCGGAAUCACUGGGCGUAAAGCGGGCGCAGGCGGACUAUCCAGUCAGGGGUGAAAGCCCAAGGCUUAACCUUGGAAUUGCCUUUGAAACUGAUAGUCUGGAGUGUGUGAGGGGGUAGCGGAAUUCCGAAUGUAGAGGUGAAAUUCGUAGAUAUUCGGAGGAACACCGGUGGCGAAGGCGGCUACCUGGCACACAACUGACGCUGAGGCCCGAAAGCGUAGGGAUCAAACAGG